rnacentral:rRNA from 1 species
GACAGAGGUGGCAAGCGUUGUUCGGAAUUACUGGGCUUAAAGGGCGCGUAGGCGGUGGUACAAGUCUGUGGUGGAAUCCUGUGGCUUAACCGCAGAAUUGCCAUGGAAACUGUAUUACUUGAGUCAGCGAGGGGAGGGCGGAAUUCCCGGUGUAGCAGUGAAAUGCGUAGAUAUCGGGAGGAAGGCCUGUGGCGAAGGCGGCCCUCUGGCGCUUGACUGACGCUGAGGCGCGAAAGCGUGGGGAGCAAACAGGAUUAGAUACCCUGGUAGUCCACGCCCUAAACGGUGGGCAUUAGGUGUUGGGCUCUAACGAGUUCAGUGCCGUAGGGAAACCAUUAAAUGCCCCGCCUGGGAAGUACGGCCGCAAGGUUGAAACUUAAAUGAAUUGACGG